GACGAACGCGGCGGCGUGCUUAACACAUGCAAGUCGAACGGGAACCUUUAUUUCGGUAAAGGUGAGAGUGGCAAACGGGUGAGUAACACGUAGGCAACCUGCCGACAGGAUGGGGACAACAUUCCGAAAGGAAUGCUAAUACCGAAUGGAGUCCGAGGAUGGCAUCAUCCUCGGAUAAAAGAUGGCCUCUGAAUAUGCUAUCGCCUGUCGAUGGGCCUGCGUCUGAUUAGCCAGUUGGCGGGGUAACGGCCCACCAAAGCGACGAUCAGUAGCCGGUCUGAGAGGAUGAACGGCCACAUUGGGACUGAGACACGGCCCAGACUCCUACGGGAGGCAGCAGUGGGGAAUCUUCCACAAUGGGCGAAAGCCUGAUGGAGCAACGCCGCGUGAGUGAAGAAGGUUUUCGGAUGUAAAGCUUCUGUUGC
rnacentral:rRNA from 1 species